rnacentral:rRNA from 1 species
AUGAACGCUGGCGGCGUGCCUAAUACAUGCCAGUCGAGCGCACAGAUGAGGAGCUUGCUCCUCUGACGUUAGCGGCGGACGGGUGAGUAACACGUGGAUAACCUACCUAUAAGACUGGGAUAACUUCGGGAAACCGGAGCUAAUACCGGAUAAUAUAUUGAACCGCAUGGUUCAAUAGUGAAAGACGGUUUUGCUGUCACUUAUAGAUGGAUCCGCGCCGCAUUAGCUAGUUGGUAAGGUAACGGCUUACCAAGGCAACGAUGCGUAGCCGACCUGAGAGGGUGAUCGGCCACACUGGAACUGAGACACGGUCCAGACUCCUACGGGAGGCAGCAGUAGGGAAUCUUCCGCAAUGGGCGAAAGCUUGACGGAGCAACGCCGCGUGAGUGAUGAAGGUCUUCGGAUCGUAAAACUCUGUUAUUAGGGAAGAACAAAUGUGUAAGUAACUAUGCACGUCUUGACGGUACCUAAUCAGAAAGCCACGGCUAACUACGUG